UUUUUUUUUUUUCUCCCUCUCACAUGUUUUUUCUUUUUUUCUUCUUCUUCUGCCGCGGCCCACCUCCUUUCCCUCCGCUGCAACCCACUCCCUUCCUCAAAUCUUGGCAAACAUUUUUAGUGAGAAAUAUAAUGAAAAUCUGAUUUUGAACUCAAAAUUCUUAUUCAAAAUCAAACACUAACGAAGCUCUUAUUAGCUUGAGGGAAGGAAAAAUUAGCAAAAAAAGUACUUACUGUUGCGAUAAGUUAGACGCAUUUUAAGCAGAGUGGGUCAUUUUGUGUCUCGCAAAUAUCACCGGAUGGUGAUGAAUAGUCUCCAUCAAUGGUGUCCUGUCAGUUCUGUAGCCAAAAGCAGUCAGACAAAGGCUAUUAGACGAGAAGG
rnacentral:lncRNA from 1 species